UAUUGGUCAAUGGGCGGGAGCCUGAACCAGCCAAGUCGCGUGAGGGAAGACGGUCCUUCGGAUUGUAAACCUCUUUUUCCUGGGAGCAACGGUGUCCUUGCGAGGGCCCAAUGAGAGUACCCGGAGAAAAAGCAUCGGCUAACCCCGUGCCAGCGGCCGCGGUAAUACGGAGGAUGCGAGCGUUAUCCGGAUUUAUUGGGUUUAAAGGGUGCGUAGGCGGGCUGUUAAGUCAGCGGUGAAAUGUCGGGGCUCAACCCCGGCCUGCCGUUGAAACUGGCGGCCUCGAGUGGGCGAGAAGUAUGCGGAAUGCGUGGUGUAGCGGUGAAAUGCAUAGAUAUCACGCAGAACUCCGAUUGCGAAGGCAGCAUACCGGCGCCCUACUGACGCUGAGGCACGAAAGCGUGGGUAUCGAACAGG
rnacentral:rRNA from 1 species